AUUCGUCCUAUAUCAUAAAUUCAAUUCUUUUGUAUAUCCGUUUGUUGACUCUGAUAGGUGACUAAAAUUCAAUAAAAAGUAAUAACUGCAAUCAUCCUCACCACACAAAUCAGCAAAUAGACUGUCCGUAUGCAAAUUAAAAUGUAAGCUCCGCAAAAUCAGUUGACAUAACAUUGGUAACACUGAUUACUCAAACUGGGACAACACAAUUAAUACAUUUUUUAAAAUGAUAUUCAUGUUCUCCUCAAGUACGCUUGCAUAAGGUUAUAGAUCAACUAACCCCCAGUAAUCUGGGACAAAACAUAUCACGAUGACACAUAUAAAGUAUUCAACAGUAUUGGACAAAUAAAAUGAAACAAUAUAGUCGUUUGAUAAGACAAUUUCAAUUAAUAAACAAAUACACCGCGAAAUUGCUCGCUCUUUACUGGACAAAAAUGUCAACAAGCAAGUUUCCAGUUAUCCAUUUUAACUUUGAUUAAAGUAUUCAUGUUAGGAGGUCGGUUUGAGCAUAUCUCUUCUUUCCUUUGGUGACCUUCUCUGAUAGAAUUCACGUAUUGGACGUGGAAUACCGGCU
rnacentral:lncRNA from 1 species